rnacentral:rRNA from 1 species
GAUGAACGCUGGCGGCGUGCCUAAUACAUGCAAGUCGAGCGAACAGACGAGGAGCUUGCUCCUCUGACGUUAGCGGCGGACGGGUGAGUAACACGUGGAUAACCUACCUAUAAGACUGGGAUAACUUCGGGAAACCGGAGCUAAUACCGGAUAAUAUAUUGAACCGCAUGGUUCAAUAGUGAAAGACGGUUUUGCUGUCACUUCUAGAUGGAUCCGCGCCGCAUUAGCUAGUUGGUAAGGUAACGGCUUACCAAGGCAACGAUGCGUAGCCGACCUGAGAGGGUGAUCGGCCACACGGGAACUGAGACACGGUCCAGACUCCUACGGGAGGCAGCAGUAGGGAAUCUUCCGCAAUGGGCGAAAGCCUGACGGAGCAACGCCGCGUGAGUGAUGAAGGUCUUCGGAUCGUAAAACUCUGUUAUUAGGGAAGAACAAAUGUGUAAGUAACUAUGCACGUCUUGACGGUACCUAAUCAGAAAGCCACGGCUAACUACGUG